CAGAAAAGCAGCCAGAACUACUGGAGUACCAUGCUGUGUAAGAAAAAGGGCAAGAAAGAAUCACUUUCCAGUUCUUCAUCUUCCCCCUUGGAAACCAUCAAUGGUCAGUCGAAGAGAGUCUGGAAAGAAUCAACGGUUAGUGCUGCAGUAUUGUAGCUGCUACAGUUUAAAAAGCUUUGGCAAACAGCUAAGGUUUAUGGCACACAUAUGAGACCAUUUAUUGAGUGUUGUAAGAAGAACUUUCUAUAUGUAAUAUGAUACAGAGGC